rnacentral:rRNA from 1 species
GACGAACGCUGGCGGCGUGCCUAAUACAUGCAAGUCGAACGAGAGCGACCGGUGCUUGCACUGGUCAAUCUAGUGGCGAACGGGUGAGUAACACGUGGGUAACCUGCCCAUCAGAGGGGGAUAACAUCCGGAAACGGAUGCUAAAACCGCAUAGGUCUUCGAACCGCAUGGUUUGAAGAGGAAAAGAGGCGCAAGCUUCUGCUGAUGGAUGGACCCGCGGUGCAUUAGCUAGUUGGUGAGGUAACGGCUCACCAAGGCCGUGAUGCAUAGCCGACCUGAGAGGGUGAUCGGCCACAUUGGGACUGAGACACGGCCCAAACUCCUACGGGAGGCAGCAGUAGGGAAUCUUCCGCAAUGGACGCAAGUCUGACGGAGCAACGCCGCGUGAGUGAAGAAGGUUUUCGGAUCGUAAAACUCUGUUGUUAGAAAAGAACAAGUGCUAGAGUAACUGUUAGCGCCUUGACGGUAUCUAACCAGAAAGCCACGGCUAACUACGUG